rnacentral:lncRNA from 1 species
GGCCGGGCGAACUUACCGAGGCCUUCGGGGAAUCCCGCAGGGCAGCCGGGAGCCCCAGAGGCAAUCCCCUGGAGGGAGAAUUGAGACCCCCGGCCUAUCCGCCCUACCUGGUUGGAGUGAUGAGAAACCGGAGAGAAAAAAGGAAGAGAAGCAACUAAAAGACGGAUCGGAGGGCUUUUUUUUUUCCGGCCCAGACGAGGGCUCCAGCCCACUCACCAGAUACACUUAAAAUGUAAAUACGAGCUUCCAGAACAAAUGCU